rnacentral:rRNA from 1 species
GACGAACGCUGGCGGCGUGCUUAACACAUGCAAGUCGAACGAUGAAGCCUAGCUUGCUUGGUGUGCUAGUGGCGAACGGGUGAGUAAUACGUGAGUAACCUACCCUUAACUCUGUGAUAAGCCUUGGAAACAGGGGCUAAUAUCGGAGAUGAGCAAUCUUCGCGCGGGGUGUUGGUUGGAAAGGUUAUGUGGUGGUUAUGGAUGGGCUCGCGGCCUAUCAGCUUGUUGGUGUGGUAACGGCUCACCAAGGCGACGACGGGUAGCCGGCCUGAGAGGGUGACCGGCCACACUGGGACUGAGAUACGGCCCAGACUCCUACGGGAGGCAGCAGUGGGGAAUAUUGCACAAUGGGCGCAAGCCUGAUGCAGCGACGCCGCGUGAGGGAUGACGGCCUUCGGGUUGUAAACCUCUGUUGGCUGGGAAGAAGAGAAAUUGACGGUACCUGCAGAGAAAGCGCCGGCUAACUACGUG